CGACAUCCAGAGAACUUAGCAGAGAUGCUUUGGUGCCUUCGGGAACUCUGAGACAGGUGCUGCAUGGCUGUCGUCAGCUCGUGUUGUGAAAUGUUGGGUUAAGUCCCGCAACGAGCGCAACCUUAUCCUUUGUUGCCAGCGAUUCGGUCGGGAACUCAAAGGAGACUGCCGGUGAUAAACCGGAGGAAGGUGGGGAUGACGUCAAGUCAUCAUGGCCCUUACGGCCAGGGCUACACACGUGCUACAAUGGCGCAUACAAAGAGAAGCGACCUCGCGAGAGCAAGCGGACCUCAUAAAGUGCGUCGUAGUCCGGAUUGGAGUCUGCAACUCGACUCCAUGAAGUCGGAAUCGCUAGUAAUCGUAGAUCAGAAUGCUACGGUGAAUACGUUCCCGGGCCUUGUACACACCGCCCGUCACACCAUGGGAGUGGGUUGCAAAAGAAGUAGGUAGCUUAACCUUCGGGAGGGCGCUUACCACUUUGUGAUUCAUGACUGGGGUGAAGUCGUAACAAGGUAAGCGUACGUGU
rnacentral:rRNA from 1 species